UACUAUUUUACUCUCCUAGCUCAGAUUCCU
rnacentral:piRNA from 2 species